CGAAGCAGGCGGGGGGGCCGGAGCGCGUCUCUCGCCUCACCCCGCCGGGGAGAAUGUCGCGCCCCCGACACGGACUUCAAGAAAUAUGCAUUGUUACAAUUUUACUUUGGAAUUGAUGAAGUGGAAAUACAGAUGAAACCAGUUUGCAGAAUAUCGACCAUACAGCUCUUUGAUUAAAGAAAACAAGCUGGAAUAAUCGCUGCUUCAGCUGGCUUCCAAAUCGGCUAUCGGAUUUCACUAAACAGCCCAGCUUAAAACUUGCCACACAGCAGGGCCGGUUGCCAAGGGUGACAGUGCACAGGAAGGAUAUAAAUGUGAACAAUGAUUUGUCUGCAAGUUUACAUCAGAGUGCUGGGCUUCUGUGUCUUCUUAAUUGUUUCUC